AAUGCAAGUCGAGCGAGAAGCCACUUCUCCGUAAGGAGAAGUGGUGGAAAGCGGCGAACGGGUGAGUAACACGUGGAUAACGUGCCCAAGACUCUGGGAUAACAGCGGGAAACCGCUGCUAAUACCGGAUAACCCUGCAGCGUCGCAUGACGCAGCAGGCAAAGCUCCGGCGGUCUUGGAUCGGUCCGCGGCCUAUCAGCUUGUUGGUGGGGUAACGGCCUACCAAGGCAGUGACGGGUAGCUGGCGUGAGAGCGCGACCAGCCACACUGGGACUGAGACACGGCCCAGACUCCUACGGGAGGCAGCAGUAGGGAAUCUUGCGCAAUGGGCGAAAGCCUGACGCAGCGACGCCGCGUGAGCGAUGAAGGCCUUCGGGUUGUAAAGCUCUUUCAGCAGGGACGAAAUUGACGGUACCUGCAGAAGAAGGUCCGGCCAACUACGUGCCAGCAGCCGCGGUAAUACGUAGGGACCGAGCGUUGUCCGGAUUUAUUGGGCGUAAAGAGCGCGUAGGCGGCUAUCCACGUCGGAUGUGAAAGCUCAGGGCUCAACCCUGAGAGGCCAUUCGAUACGGGAUAGCUAGAGGCAGCUAGGGGAAAGUGGAAUUCCUGGUGUAGCGGUGAAAUGCGUAGAGAUGUGGAGGAACACCAGUGGGCGAAGGCGGCUUUCUGGUCUGUAACUGACGCUGA
rnacentral:rRNA from 1 species